rnacentral:rRNA from 1 species
GACGAAGGUGGCUAGCGUUGUUCGGUGUCACUGGGCUUAAAGAGUGUGUAGGCGGAAAGGUAAGCGCCUUGUGAAAGCCCCCGGCUUAACCGGGGAAUUGCUUGGCGAACUACUUUUCUUGAGGCAAGUAGGGGUGCAUGGAACUCUUGGUGGAGCGGUGGAAUGCGUAGAUAUCAAGAGGAACGCCGGCGGUGAAAACGGUGCACUGGGCUUGGCCUGACGCUGAGACACGAAAGCGUGGGGAGCGAACGGGAUUAGAUACCCGAGUA